AGUAGAGUCAGCUAAUUAAGCUUUUGGGCCCAUGCCCCAAACAUGUUGGUUAAAUUCCCUCCUGUACUA
rnacentral:tRNA from 1 species